GCUAAAAUUAUAACCCUGAAAGCCCCUGCUGCCUAUUAGUCAUUUGGUACAUGACACAAAGCAAAAUGUAUUGUGCAUUCUUGGACUUCAGAUUGGCUCUUAGUACACUGGCUGUUUGAUUGCAUUUUUUGACCUGCAAAAUAUUCAGCUUUCUGAAAGUUUAAACCAUCCAAAAACUCAAGAGAUGUAGGGGCAAAACUGAGGUGCCAGACUGAAGCAUCUGGGAGGCUAUGGAGUGCUUUACAAAUGUACUCUGUUGUAGAUAAGAACUUGUGCAAGAGCAUGCCUACGAUAACGUGAUGUGAAUACAGGGACAGCGCCUUUCAUUCCUCCAGAUGCGCUGGAAACGAUGGUUUGUCAAGUGAUUCACAAGAUGUGAAGAGUGGGGGAACAUUUGUCUUAUCUUGAAAUAAAUGCAGUAUUAUAUAGGAGCCACCAGGAGGAAAAUUUCCUAUUGGGAGAAUUUCAGGACCCGUGCCAAGAAGAAAGAGAUGCCC